rnacentral:rRNA from 1 species
GACGGAGGGUGCUAGCGUUGUUCGGAAUGACUGGGCGUAAAGGGCGCGUAGGCGGCUCGUGAAGUCGGGUGUGAAAGCCCGGGGCUCAACCCCGGAACGGCAUCCGAUACUGGCGGGCUUGAGACCGGGAGAGGAGGGUGGAAUACCCAGUGUAGAGGUGAAAUUCGUAGAUAUUGGGUGGAACACCGGUGGCGAAAGCGGCUCUCUGGCCCGGAUCUGACGCUGAGGCGCGAAGGCGUGGGGAGCGAACGGG